GGAUGCUUAGCUCAGUUGGUUAGAGCACCUGCCUUACAAGCAGGGGGUCAUAGGUUCGAGUCCUAUAGCGUCCACCA
rnacentral:tRNA from 1 species